rnacentral:tRNA from 1 species
GGGGAUUUGGCUCAGUGGUAAAAGCACCUGCCUGGCAAGCACAAAGUUGUGAGUUCGAACCCUGGUAUCCCCC